UACGAGGGGUGCAAGCGUUGCUCGGAAUUAUUGGGCGUAAAGGGUAGGUAGGUGGUCUCAUUUGUCUGGGGUGAAAGCCUUGAGCUUAACUCAAGAAGUGCCCCAGAAACGGUGAGACUGGAGUCCUGGAGAGGGUCGUGGAAUUCCCGGUGUAGAGGUGAAAUUCGUAGAUAUUCGGAGGAACACCAGUGGCGAAGGCGGCUCACUGGUCCGGUACUGACGCUGAGGUGCGAAAGCGUGGGGAGCAAACAGG
rnacentral:rRNA from 1 species